CAGGACGAACGCUGGCGGCGUGCCUAAUACAUGCAAGUCGAGCGGACGGACGGGAGCUUGCUCCCUUAGGUCAGCGGCGGACGGGUGAGUAACACGUGGGUAACCUGCCUGUAAGACUGGGAUAACUCCGGGAAACCGGGGCUAAUACCGGAUGCUUGAUUGAACCGCAUGGUUCAAUCAUAAAAGGUGGCUUUUAGCUACCACUUACAGAUGGACCCGCGGCGCAUUAGCUAGUUGGUGAGGUAACGGCUCACCAAGGCGACGAUGCGUAGCCGACCUGAGAGGGUGAUCGGCCACACUGGGACUGAGACACGGCCCAGACUCCUACGGGAGGCAGCAGUAGGGAAUCUUCCGCAAUGGACGAAAGUCUGACGGAGCAACGCCGCGUGAGUGAUGAAGGUUUUCGGAUCGUAAAACUCUGUUGUUAGGGAAGAACAAGUACCGUUCGAAUAGGGCGGUACCUUGACGGUACCUAACCAGAAAGCCACGGCUAACUACGUGCCAGCAGCCGCGGUAAUACGUAGGUGGCAAGCGUUGUCCGGAAUUAUUGGGCGUAAAGCGCGCGCAGGCGGUUUCUUAAGUCUGAUGUGAAAGCCCCCGGCUCAACCGGGGAGGGUCAUUGGAAACUGGGGAACUUGAGUGCAGAAGAGGAGAGUGGAAUUCCACGUGUAGCGGUGAAAUGCGUAGAGAUGUGGAGGAACACCAGUGGCGAAGGCGACUCUCUGGUCUGUAACUGACGCUGAGGCGCGAAAGCGUGGGGAGCGAACAGGAUUAGAUACCCUGGUAGUCCACGCCGUAGACGAUGAGUGCUAAGUGUUAGAGGGUUUCCGCCCUUUAGUGCUGCAGCAAACGCAUUAAGCACUCCGCCUGGGGAGUACGGUCGCAAGACUGAAACUCAAAGGAAUUGACGGGGGCCCGCACAAGCGGUGGAGCAUGUGGUUUAAUUCGAAGCAACGCGAAGAACCUUACCAGGUCUUGACAUCCUCUGACAACCCUAGAGAUAGGGCUUCCCCUUCGGGGGCAGAGUGACAGGUGGUGCAUGGUUGUCGUCAGCUCGUGUCGUGAGAUGUUGGGUUAAGUCCCGCAACGAGCGCAACCCUUGAUCUUAGUUGCCAGCAUUCAGUUGGGCACUCUAAGGUGACUGCCGGUGACAAACCGGAGGAAGGUGGGGAUGACGUCAAAUCAUCAUGCCCCUUAUGACCUGGGCUACACACGUGCUACAAUGGGCAGAACAAAGGGCAGCG
rnacentral:rRNA from 1 species